ACAGUUGAGAACCGUUACUUGACUGGUACCUCCAGCCCACCAGCAGGCAAUGAUGGCAUCAGACUAGAGGAUCACCAGUAAAUCAUUGUAAACAAGCGUGGAAAGAGAGAAAGUCCACUUUAAGCGAUGGAAAAUCAGCCCCAAUUCUGAAGGAACAACCAUGAACAGAUGAUUUAAGGAGAAUCAAUUCUUUGCUCUUUGCAGAAGGAGCCAACAGAGUGAGAUGAAGGGGACAACUUCAGAUACUCAGGCAGAAGCAUAAGUCCCCACCUGCUGACCUGCUGCCUGCUAUCUUAACACGAAUUCUUCAUCUGAAUGGAUGAGCUUUUCACAGAGUUCCAAACUAAGGAAUCCAGGAGUGGCCAAUCCAGAGAUUCAUUCCUUAUCUUUGACGAACAUCUGAACUCCUGGCUCAUCCUGUGGAAUUCAGGCCAUACAGGAGAUCAAGGUCAUUUGCUUUGGGUUAAAUGAAUGUUGCCAGGUGGAGGUUGCUAGAGGGAGAGUGCUAUGUGAAAGUGCUGUAUAAACUGCUUGCUUUUCACAAACAGUAGUGAUUCUUUAUCCUGUCCAGCCUGCCACAACUGGACCAUCCUGUAUGUAAGUCCCCUUAAUAAAUCCUGUGUCUCAUUCACUGGCUUCAAGUCUCUUCCUGGGCCUCUUGAACGUGGUGCCACCUGUAUUGAAGUCAACAGAAGUUCAGCACAACACAGGUCAAAAUGAAGAUUCUGACUCAGUAGGUCAGGAUGUUCUAACGAGCUCUAGCUGACAUGAUACGUCAGGGCUGCAGACUAGCUUUGAGCAACAAGGUGCUAGAGAAAUACCUAUAGAACAACAGAGAUGCAAGACAAAUGAGUUGGAAGUUAAAAGAUUUAAAUUCUUGUCUUAGUUUUCUCAUUAAAGAAAAGCUGUGUGACUAUGAAAAAAAAUGGCUCUCUGAGACUUUUGUUUGCUCAUCCAAGAUGAAAAUAUUGAAAUGUAUUAUACAAUAAACAUUUGCAAACAGU
ensembl:lncRNA novel transcript